GGACGGACCACGUGCACAGCCUUAUUGCUACAGUUGGAAUGAGUGUUCUCCAAGACCCCAGCUUGGCUCUCCUGGGGCAUGCUAAACCCUGUAGGAGGUGGGGCUUUGUGGGAGGUUUGAGGUCAUUUUGAGGUCAGUUGAAGGUGCCCUAGAGAAGAUUCCAGUUCCUUCCUGCUGUUUGCUUCCUGGCCAGGACCUGAGCAGUUUUCUCCCACAGGCACUCACCCACAGUGCUCCUCACCAUAAGCCCCAAAGCCGUGGGUCUGAUGGCCAUGAACUACAAACUCCAGGACAGCCCCAGAAACCUUCUCAAGCUCUUGGCUGCAGGUACAAGACUGACUAGGACCCGAGUCCAUCGGCUCUCCUCAGGUACCCACCGAACACCAGGGCAGGGCGAAGUGCCGGGGGAGUGGAGAUGUCAGAAUGCCACCCUCCCUGGAGUCUAGGCUCUUGUGAGCUAGAAGGGGCAGACAGAACUGUGGGGAUCCACCGGGACUGCACCAGGAUCCACAGAUAGGAAGCAGCAGUAUGAGGUCAGCUGACCUUCCAUCACAAGCGGCCUCGGCGCUUCCAAGUCAAGCUUGGGAUCUCCCGUCUCGAGUCUUCACUUGGUUCAGCCCUGCCCUAGAAGUAAGCCAGCUUGGAGGCGGCGGCGAUGGCAUUAUGUGACUGCAGCGUGCCAACCACGGCAUCCAUCAGCAAAACGUUGGUCAGUGCUUGCUGGACGUACUGCGGGUCCUAGGGCGGAAGCAGAUGUGUGUCAACCCAGCCCAAAUCCUGGACGUCUCCUGAUUUGGCUCCACUGAAGAAAACAGCACUUCUCGAAGAAAGAGCGAACGCUGGGGGGUCUGGAGUUUGGGUCGCACCGUCUUUUGCUCUGAGUUACAAUACACUCUGAUUCUGGA